AUUCUUAUAGUUUAUAUAUAAAAAUAUUACACUGAAAAUGUAAAGAAAUUUUUUUAAUUUUUAAGAAUA
rnacentral:tRNA from 1 species